rnacentral:rRNA from 1 species
UACGUAGGGUCCGAGCGUUGUCCGGAAUUACUGGGCGUAAAGAGCUCGUAGGUGGUUUGUCGCGUUGUUCGUGAAAACUCACAGCUCAACUGUGGGCGUGCGGGCGAUACGGGCAGACUUGAGUACUGCAGGGGAGACUGGAAUUCCUGGUGUAGCGGUGAAAUGCGCAGAUAUCAGGAGGAACACCAGUGGCGAAGGCGGUGCUCUGGGCCGGAACUGACGCUGGAGGAGCGAAAGCCGUGGGGAGCAAACAGG